rnacentral:rRNA from 1 species
CUUUAGUGGCGAACGGGUGCGUAAUACGUGAGAAUCUGCCCUUAGGAGAAGAAUAACUGCUGGAAACGGCUGCUAAAUCUUCAUAUGUCGAGAGAUGAAGUAGCUUAGGCUGCCUAAGGAUGAGCUCACGCCUGAUUAGCUAGUUGGUGAGGUAAUGGCUCACCAAGGCCACGAUCAGUAGCUGGUUUGAGAGAACGAUCAGCCACACUGGGACUGAGACACGGCCCAGACUCCUCCGGGAGGCAGCAGUGAGGAAUUUUCCGCAAUGGGCGAAAGCCUGACGGAGCAAUACCGCGUGAGGGAUGAAGGAUUUUGGUCUGUAAACCUCUUUUCUCAAGAAAGAAGUUCUGACGGUACUUGAGGAAUAAGCAUCGGCUAACUCCGUGCCAGCAGCCGCGGUAAUACGGGGGAUGCAAGCGUUAUCCGGAAUCAUUGGGCGUAAAGCGCCUGUAGGUUGUUUAAUACGUCUGUUGUUAAAGACUAGGGCUUAACCCUA